rnacentral:rRNA from 1 species
UACAGAGGGUGCGAGCGUUAAUCGGAAUUACUGGGCGUAAAGCGUGCGCAGGCGGUUUCUUAAGCCAGAUGUGAAAGCCCCGGGCUUAACCUGGGAACUGCGUUUGAAACUGGGAGACUUGAGUGUGGCAGAGGGGGGUGGAAUUCCACGUGUAGCAGUGAAAUGCGUAGAUAUGUGGAGGAACACCGAUGGCGAAGGCAGCCCCCUGGGUUAACACUGACGCUCAUGCACGAAAGCGUGGGGAGCAAACAGG